rnacentral:rRNA from 1 species
UUAGUGCAAUGGCAUAAGCCAGCUUGACUGCGAGCGUGACGGCGCGAGCAGGUGCGAAAGCAGGUCAUAGUGAUCCGGUGGUUCUGAAUGGAAGGGCCAUCGCUCAACGGAUAAAAGGUACUCCGGGGAUAACAGGCUGAUACCGCCCAAGAGUUCAUAUCGACGGCGGUGUUUGGCACCUCGAUGUCGGCUCAUCACAUCCUGGGGCUGAAGUAGGUCCCAAGGGUAUGGCUGUUCGCCAUUUAAAGUGGUACGCGAGCUGGGUUUAGAACGUCGUGAGACAGUUCGGUCCCUAUCUGCCGUGGGCGCUGGAGAACUGAGGGGGGCUGCUCCUAGUACGAGAGGACCGGAGUGGACGCAUCACUGGUGUUCGGGUUGUCAUGCCAAUGGCACUGCCCGGUAGCUAAAUGCGGAAGAGAUAAGUGCUGAAAGCAUCUAAGCACGAAACUUGCCCCGAG